rnacentral:tRNA from 1 species
GGGUUCGUAGCUCAAUCGGUAGAGCGCCGCCGUGAAGAGGAGGAGGUCGGAGGUUCGAUCCCUCCCGUUCCCGCAA